GACGAACGCUGGCGGCGUGCUUAACACAUGCAAGUCGAACGAUGUGGCGAACGGGUGAGUAACGCGUAAUCAACCUGCCCUUCAGAGGGGGACAACAGUUGGAAACGACUGCUAAUACCGCAUACUGAAGGAGGGGAUUGCGUCUGAUUAGCUGGUUGACGGGGUAACGGCCCACUAAGGCUAUGAUCAGUAGCCGGGCUGAAAAGAUGAACGGCCACAUUGGGACUGAGACACGGCUCAGAAACCUACGGGAGGCAGCAGUGGGGAAUCAUCCGCAAUGGACGAAAGUCUGACGGAGCAACGCAGCGUGAGUGAUGGCGGCCUUCGUGGUGGAAAGCUCUGUUAAUCGGGACGCGGUACCGGAAUAGAAAGCAACGGCUAACUACGUGCCAGCAGCCGCGGUAAUAC
rnacentral:rRNA from 1 species